rnacentral:rRNA from 1 species
GACGAACGCUGGCGGCGUGCCUAAUACAUGCAAGUAGAACGCUGAAGAGAGGAGCUUGCUCUUCUUGGAUGAGUUGCGAACGGGUGAGUAACGCGUAGGUAACCUGCCUUGUAGCGGGGGAUAACUAUUGGAAACGAUAGCUAAUACCGCAUAACAAUGGAUGACACAUGUCAUUUAUUUGAAAGGGGCAAUUGCUCCACUACAAGAUGGACCUGCGUUGUAUUAGCUAGUAGGCGAGGUAACGGCUCACCUAGGCGACGAUACAUAGCCGACCUGAGAGGGUGAUCGGCCACACUGGGACUGAGACACGGCCCAGACUCCUACGGGAGGCAGCAGUAGGGAAUCUUCGGCAAUGGGGGCAACCCUGACCGAGCAACGCCGCGUGAGUGAAGAAGGUUUUCGGAUCGUAAAGCUCUGUUGUAAGUCAAGAACGAGUGUGAGAGUGGAAAGUUCACACUGUGACGGUAGCUUACCAGAAAGGGACGGCUAACUACGUGCCAGCAGCCGCGGUAAUACGUAGGUCCCGAGCGUUGUCCGGAUUUAUUGGGCGUAAAGCGAGCGCAGGCGGUUUGAUAAGUCUGAAGUUAAAGGCUGUGGCUCAACCAUAGUUCGCUUUGGAAACUGUCAAACUUGAGUGCAGAAGGGGAGAGUGGAAUUCCAUGUGUAGCGGUGAAAUGCGUAGAUAUAUGGAGGAACACCGGUGGCGAAAGCGGCUCUCUGGUCUGUAACUGACGCUGAGGCUCGAAAGCGUGGGGAGCGAACGGGAUUAGAUACCCCUGGUAGUCCACGCCGUAAACGAUGAGUGCUAGGUGUUGGAUCCUUUCCGGGAUUCAGUGCCGCAGCUAACGCGUUAGGCGCUCCGCCUGGGGAGUACGACCGCAAGGGUUGAAACUCAAAGGAAUUGACGGGGGCCCGCACAAGCGGUGGAGCAUGUGGUUUAAUUCGAAGCAACGCGAAGAACCUUACCAGGUCUUGACAUCCCGAUGCUAUUUCUAGAGAUAGAAAGUUACUUCCGUACAUCGGUGACAGGUGGUGCAUGGUUGUCGUCAGCUCGUGUCGUGAGAUGUUGGGUUAAGUCCCGCAACGAGCGCAACCCCUAUUGUUAGUUGCCAUCAUUCAGUUGGGCACUCUAGCGAGACUGCCGGUAAUAAACCGGAAGAAGGUGGGGAUGACGUCAAAUCAUCAUGCCCAUUAUGACCUGGGCUACACACGUGCUACAAUGGUUGGUACAACGAGUUGCGAGUCGGUGACGGCAAGCUAAUCUCUUAAAGCCAAUCUCAGUUCGGAUUGUAGGCUGCAACUCGCCUACAUGAAGUCGGAAUCGCUAGUAAUCGCGGAUCAGCACGCCGCGGUGAAUACGUUCCCGGGCCU